UGUGGGAGAGGAGCCAGGCCGAGAUCGCCGAGCAGGCCAAGCACGAGGCCGAGGUGGAGCACCGCGUGGCCGAGAUGAAGCGCGAGGGUUUCUGGUCCCUUCGGCGCCUGCCCAAGGUUCCGGAGCCGGCGCGGCCCAAGGUGCACUGGGAUUACCUGUGCGAGGAGAUGCAGUGGCUGGCAGCCGACUUCGCCCAGGAGAGGCGCUGGAAAAGGGGCGUGGCCAGGAAGGUGGUGCGGAUGGUGAUGCGGCACCACGAGGAGCAGCGGCAGCGUCAGGAG